GGAAUAAAGCAGCGGUUAAUUACCGUGUGCAGCACCGACCUGCCUUCCUUUCCCUGCGAUGGAAUCAGAGUCGCCAGCACGACACCGACUGCUCCAGCAAGCAGAACACAAACUGCGUGUGACACCUGCCUGUGCUUGGCACGGAGCAGCAGCCGGCUGCCAGCACAUUAAAAACAGCUCCUGGAGCCGGGCUGGGGCUGCACAGUGAGAGGUGCAGGGGAAGGUGCAGCUGCAUCGGGGCUGCACCCAAAGGAGGACGGGGAAGAGCAGCAGAGCCCAGCCAGGCCCAUCUCUAUCUCAACCAGCUGCUAUUGCCUCUGGAAAACAGACUCCAAAGCUUGCCCAAGUGCUGGAGAGAAUCCCAUCACAGUUUUUCUUAGAGAAAUCCGACACGAGCAAUAAUACAAUCUUGGAAAGAGAAUUGAAUUAUUUAUGGAGGAGCAGUGAAAUGAUGGAGACUAAACCUCUAUAUUUUAUGUAAUUUGUUUUCUCCUGAAGCCCGUUAUGUAAAAAUGUAAAUAUUGCUGGUUAUGUGUGUCGCUGCUCUUGCCAAAUGUUUAAUAUUUUAUCAAACCUGCUCCCAGCACUCGUCUCUUUUGGAAAGGACCCGUCCAUGUCCUCUGGAAUAAGUUCCAGUGAGUUUGUGGCAAUUAUAGAUUUACAACACUGCAAAAAAAUCUCCCUGAGGUGCCCAUGCUCCAGUCUGGGGCAUGGAAAUGGCACAACCCUCAGAAUUUGGGGGAAUUUUUAGGAGAGGGUUUAAUUUCAGGGAGGAUUUCCAGCAAUCUGGAUUGAGAUUGGGAUGGGAAAAGGCGUCUGAAGGUUUUCCUGGUUUUGGGGUCUGGACAUCCCUUCCAGGGCAGGAAGAAAUGAGCUGGUACCUAAACUCUCCUCAGUAGGGAUGCAGCCCUGGAGAUCUGGAGGCUCAGGGAUUGUGAGAUGAGAUCUGACCAAAAAAACCACUCAGCAAUGACCUGUUGCAGCAGAAAAAUGCCUUUUUUUCUUUUUUUUUUUUCCUCCUGGGGAAAAGGACUACGAGUUCGAGUGUGAGAGAAUUUUAAUUUAUCACCAAAAAAAUUCCAACAAGCUCCCACGGCUGGGUGAUGAAGUGGCCAAUCCAAAUGGGAAAUGUAUUUUUUUAACCAGGCAUAAUAAUUGAUGAUAAUUAACCUCUGGAAAAAAACUCUCCAGGGAAGGAGCAGCUUUUUGCCUUUGUGAAGGAAAAAUCUGGGCCUGGAUACUUUCCCUGGAGUUUUAAAGUGAGAUUCCAAAACCAGUGGAGGAAUUGCUUUGGCAAUUGGGGAAGAUAAAUGAGGGGUGCCCAAGGAGUGAAUGUGGGAUAUUCAAGGAUCAAAUAUGGGAUGUUCAAGGAUCAAAUGUGAGAUAUUCAUGGAUCAGAUGUGGGAAAUUCAAGGAUCAAAUGUGGGACAUUCAAGGAUCGAAUGUGGGACAUUCAAGGACCAAAAGUGGGAUAUUCAAGGAUCAAAUUUGGGACAUUCAAGGAUUGAAGGUGGGAAAUGCAAGGAUCAGAUGUGGAAAAUUGAAGGAUCAAAUGUGGGAUAUUCAAGGAUCAAAUAUGGGAUGUUCAAGGACAAAAUUUGGGACAUUCAAGGAUCAAAUGUGGGAUAUUCAAGGACCAAAAGUGGGACAUUCAAGGAUCGAAGGUGGGAAAUGCAAGGAUCAGAUGUGGGAAAUUAAAGGAUCAAAUAUGGGAUGUUCAAGGACCAAAAGUGGGAUAUUCAAAGAUCAAAUUUGGGACAUUCAAGGACCAAAUGUGGGAUGUUCAAGGACCAAAAGUGGGAUAUUCAAGGAUCAAAUAUGGGAUGUUCAAGGACCAAAUGCGGGAUGUUCAAGGACCAAAUGUGGGAUCCUUGAGGAAUGGAUUUGGGAUGCUUGAGGAACGAAUGUGAGGAGCUCGUUGCUGCUGGCUUCAGAAGAAAGAUCCCUGCACCAAGAGAACCCUAAAAUUUUGAGCUCUUGGAUGUUUUUGGCAAUGAUGUAGUUUAAAUACGCCCCACAUGUGCCUGCUCUUUUACAUCCCUGUUUUCCAAGAUGAGACGUGAGGAAGAUGAGACGCCAAGUGCGGAUGAUCCAGUGGUCCUUUGAUAUCACAGUGAUGGCUUUUCCAUCUGCCUCCCCUCCUCUCUUCCUUUCCACUUCUCCAGCUUCUGCAAAACCCAAAAUAUUUUCUGUCUGGCAUCCCCAGCUGGUUGAAACAACCGGCGACAGCUUUAUGGCUCCUCAUCUUUGCUCGCUUCUGUGGAAUAGUAAUAAGGGAGGGGAAAAACGUCCUGCUGGCUGAUUUACAAGGCAAGAAAUUCCUAUAAAUCAUUCCAACAUCUCCCAAGGACUGGGGGGAUGCUCUGAGUUCCUGCUGGCUUUCUCAGUGAUGCAAUGCAGUGAUUUUUUUUUUUUUAUUUCUUUUUGGAGGGGAGUGGGUGAGAUUCAUCCCAACCAGGCACAGCAUCUCUCUGUGAUUUUAUUGAUGGAUUCCAAGUGGGAGCCAUCUAUUUUCCCUUGCUCUUCAUUGGCCAACCCAAAGGACAUCAGUGUGUGGUUAGAGCCUGCUCCCAAGUAGGAAGUACAAACAGUGGAGAAAAUAUUUUCUGGGUGGAUUUAUUUUUGGGAUAAACUAGAAGGAGAGAUUUAGGAAUGUUGAUUAUUUUCAAGAGGUCAUUUGUUCUGGAAAACUGUAGAAAAAAAUUAAAUUGUUUUGGGUUCCUGGCCUUAAAUUUAAUUUGU